GAUGAACGCUAGCGGCAGGCCUAACACAUGCAAGUCGAGGGGUAGAGGAAGCUUGCUUCCUUGAGACCGGCGCACGGGUGCGUAACGCGUAUGCAAUCUACCUUAUACAGGGGAAUAGCCCAGAGAAAUUUGGAUUAAUGCCCCAUAGUGUUAUUGAAUCGCAUGGUUUAGUAACUAAAGUUCCAACGGUAUAAGAUGAGCAUGCGUCCCAUUAGUUAGUUGGUAAGGUAACGGCUUACCAAGACAAUGAUGGGUAGGGGUCCUGAGAGGGAGAUCCCCCACACUGGUACUGAGACACGGACCAGACUCCUACGGGAGGCAGCAGUGAGGAAUAUUGGUCAAUGGGCGCAAGCCUGAACCAGCCAUGCCGCGUGCAGGAAGACGGUCCUAUGGAUUGUAAACUGCUUUUAUACAGGAAGAAACCCUCCCACGUGUGGGAGAUUGACGGUACUGUAGGAAUAAGGAUCGGCUAACUCCGUG
rnacentral:rRNA from 1 species